rnacentral:lncRNA from 1 species
CUACUCUACCCAGCCGGCACCGCUCGGUUAGCUGACGCUGAGGUAGCCGGGGAGGUGCGUCCCGUCGGUCCCCCGCCCCAGAGCGGCCGCAGUCCCGGCUCCCGGAGUGGUGGUCCCUGCCCCGUCCAGAGAAUAACAUGGGGAGGCCGAGGAGCCUGCGCUGCGGCGGACGACCAGCCCCGCCGGCGGUCGCUGAGGCUGGGGUUCCAAUGCCAGUCUUCCAGUGCCAGUGCUGCUUCCCAGCCCACACAUCCCUCUCACCACUGCUGCAUCCUAAGGAAGUCAGCAACCUUCAGGGGGUACUUGUUCCUGGAGCCAGAGUAGAGGAGGGUGGCGCUUCCAAGGCUGUGGGCAUCCAAAGAAAGAGUGCUGUCCAUCCUCCUCCUGCCUACUGAUCUCCCAUCAGCAGAACCCCACUGGAGACCUACUGGCAGCUUUUUUUAGGGCCGCUCUCGAAUCAGAGCUACAGCUGCCAGCUUAUAUCACAGCUACAGCAACAUAGGAUCCAAGCUAUGUCUGCGACCUACAAUGCGGCUCACGGCAACGCGGGAUCUCUAACCCACUGAGCAAAGCCAGGGAUCAAAACUACAUCCUCAUGGGUACUAGUCAGAUUCAUUUCCACUACACCACAACAGGAACUCCCUACAUUUGUUUUGUGGUAACAAUUACCUGGUAAAUUUCCAUCUUCCAAUAGAGUUGUGCUACUCUCUUUCACAGUUUUCUUACUGUAUUUUUGAGUAGGUAUUGUGCAUAUAACUUUCAUGGUCCUCAAAAUUAAAUCCUCUGUUAUUAUUAGGAGGUGAAGAGAAGGACCCGGAGAGCUUUAUAGAAUUAGUUCUCAUGGGCUCUUUCCUCCGUUGCUAUAGCAAAAAAAAAAAAAAAAAAAAAAAAAAAGUAUUUCCUUAAAAUACAGCAACUCUGUGAAGUCAUGCUUCCUGUGCCUCCAGGUACCUAACCAGGCUCUGAAAAGCUUCUACGUAUAGUUCUCAACUUCCUGAUUUAUUCACACACUGCAGAGACCCAGGCUUUGCCUUACAAAAUAAUAUGAUCACUUUUAGAAAGUUAUUACUGGUGGUUUCUAAGAUCUACUAUCUCUGAUUAGGCACUUCGUAUCUUUCUCUCUCUUUAGUGUUUAGACCCUAAUCAAUCUCAGUUCUUUCCCAGAAUGUCCUCUUGAAUUCCUACAUAGAUUUGCUGCACAGUGCUUAUGGUCUCAGUUGCUGACUACAGCAUUGACUGUAAUUUUGGAGUGUUGGGGUUUUGUUAGUCAGCUGUUUGCUGAAAAUUCAUUUUCUGUGACCUUAUUUUUUUUCUUCUUGUUGUUCUGGAUAGAUUUCAGGAGAAGGAAUGAAAAGUUUCAGAACUUAACAGACUCCCAUGUUCUCAUAGAAUGAUGAUAUAAUUUAUUUUUCUCCCAUGUUCUCAAAAGAAAUGAAAAAAUUCUCUGGAAGUACUAUGAUUAUUGGCUUUAGAUAAUGAACGAGAAUGUUCUAGUUAUCACCAGCCUAAUUCAAGCCAAUUAUAUAGAUUUUUCAUACCUACUAUAACAUUAAGGCUAUGUCUAGAAGAUAAUGUCACAAAGUAAUUUAAUGGAAAAUCAUUUAAGGCCUACAGUUCAGAUAAAUUAAGUUUUAAGCAAAAGAGGUUCUGAAAGAAGUAGA